CAGUUACCCAGCAUGCAUCAUGAGUGGGAGUGAUGUCUGGCUGGUGCCGUAAGCGAAGUUGCCUGUUCGUCGUGAAAACCGCAAAUUAACUGGAAUAAUCAAGCCGAUUGGUUUUAAAAGUAGCUUAAGUCGGUUUCGCUCGCCGUACUCAGUCAAGAAAUGUGACAAAACGCCAAAAUUACGACGAAGUGGUGACAGUAGUGGCGGCUCUGUGCUGACGUAUUCUCCAUUGUACCUCUUGUGUGCCUCGAUCUUACGGACUCUAUAAAACCAUGAAAGAAUGCAACCUAAUGGCUAAGAGGAAAGCGCAGUGUUUCUUAAUAUUGAACGGAUUUUAAUAAUUGUAGGGAAAUUAAGUGCUUUCAUCAUGUCUGGUAAUCAGCUUAUGGAUUCGUGUCUCUUGGUGAACCGACGAGUGGAACAAAGACAAGAGCACAGCAUCACACAUACUGAAAUCACGCAAAGGCGAGUUUUGCAAGAGAAGGUGCCCGAAAUGCAGCAUUAUAAGGGUCCGGACGCAGGGAGUUCUGUAAACGAAGGAGCCUAUCAUUCGCAUAGCAAUGGACAUUCAGAGCAUUCACCAAAUUCCAGCCAUAUGUCAGUUCAUAGUGAUGAGCCUUUAGUGCGCACACAUAAGCAGCAAACCACCCAGCAAGUGACGACCGUGACGAAGGUCGUGCGGGAAGUGCAACAGCUGGGCGACGGUCAACCAGGAGAGUAUAUACCGGUGCCGCUGGGUUCGUAUUCGCACCCUACGCACGCUCGGAAUCAGUACGUUGAUUAUAUGGAACAACCUGCCCACCAUAUGUAUUCUCAGUAUCAUCAACACCCACACUACCAAGACUACGAGCAUUAUCCUAAUCCGUAUGGCGCGUACAUGGGGUACCCGACGGGCGCGGAGCGGCCCCCCACUCCGCCCAGUCCGAGCGAACACAGCGGGGCUCCCUCGCCCAUCCCCAUAAGCGCACAGCCUGGGGUUCCGUAUUUGAGCUCGGGGUACGACGAAUUACCGGAGCAUUUCAGGGUGACCCCGUCUCCGGGCGGGCCGAUAGGGUUGGACCCUUACCAGGACGACCCAGGGGUCGUUUACGGGUACGUCUCGCCUUCUCCUUACGGCACCGCACCCGUUCACCAAGGACCAACAUACGAUUCACGUCCAUACGAAGAUAGUCUCAAUGGUCCGGUUCCGGUGGGUGCGCCGAUGAGGAUGUUCGAGGACGAAGAGCUGCAAAAGCACAUGAGCAAAAUGUCACUGCACGGUCACAGCAUGGGUUUACCUCAUAACAGAGCACACAAUAUGGCCUCCCCGGGUAGCGUUGGGGGGGACGACGAUCAAAGGGGUAUGCGUUGGCGCGAUCCGAAUUUAACCGAAGUCAUCGGUUUCCUCAAUAAUCCUAAUAAUGUUAUUAAAGCUAAUGCAGCGGCCUAUCUUCAACAUCUCUGUUACAUGGAUGACCCCAAUAAACAAAAGACUAGAGCUCUCGGCGGUAUACCUCCUCUCGUAAAAUUAUUAAGUCACGAAAGUGUAGAAGUAUAUAGGAACGCUUGCGGUGCAUUAAGGAACCUUUCGUACGGAAGGCAAAAUGACGAAAACAAAAGAGCGAUCAAAAACGCGGGAGGCAUCCCCGCAUUGAUUAACCUUCUAAGAAGAGCCAACGAAGCCGAAAUCAAAGAAUUAGUUACAGGCGUUAUAUGGAACAUGAGCUCUUGCGAAGAUCUAAAACGUAACAUUAUUGACGACGGUAUUAACACCAUCGUAAACUAUAUUAUUAUUCCACAUUCCGGCUGGGAUCCUCAGGGGAACCACGGCGAAACUUGUUGGUCGACAGUAUUCAGAAAUGCUUCAGGUGUGCUUAGAAAUGUUAGUUCAGCGGGCGAGUACGCCCGAAAAAAGUUACGAGAAUGUGAAGGACUGGUCGACGCGUUGUUGUUUGUUGUACGCUGUGCCAUAGACAAAUCUAACAUAGGCAAUAAGAUAGUCGAAAAUUGCGUGUGUAUUCUGCGCAAUCUUUCCUAUCGUUGCCAAGAAGUAGAAGACCCCAACUACGACAAGAAUCCUUUGCCAACGCAAAGUCGGGUCGCCGCUAAUUCGAAAGGUGAAAAUCUUGGCUGUUUCGGCGGAAGCAAGAAGAAGAAAGAUUCGCAGAGUACUGAAGUAAAGGAGAGUACUUCCGGUGUAUCUACCGUUGGUACCGGUGCGAAUAGUGCAGCCGCAAGAGGUGAACCAGUCCGCGGAAUGGAACUUCUUUGGCAGCCGGAAGUUGUGCAAUCUUACUUGGCUCUCCUGCAGAGUUGCUCAAAUCCUGAAACGUUAGAAGCUGCUGCUGGUGCUCUUCAAAAUUUAGCAGCGUGUUACUGGCAGCCGAGUAUAGAAAUUAGGGCAGCCGUACGUAAAGAAAAGGGGCUGCCGAUUCUUGUCGAAUUAUUGCGAAUGGAAGUCGAUCGAGUAGUAUGUGCCGUAGCGACCGCUCUCAGAAAUCUAGCGAUAGAUCAACGUAACAAGGAGUUAAUAGGGAAAUACGCAAUGCGUGAUCUCGUUCAAAAAUUGCCCUCUGGCAAUCCACAACACGACCAGGGUACUUCCGAUGACACUAUAGCGGCGGUUCUCGCUACAUUGAACGAAGUCAUCAAGAAGAACGCCGAGUUUUCGAGAUCUCUGUUAGAAGCAGGUGGAGUUGAAAGACUGAUGACCAUAACGAGACAGCGACAGAAGUACACUCCUAGAGUUUUAAAAUUUGCUGGUCAAGUAUUAUUUACGAUGUGGCAACAUCAAGAUCUGCGCGACGUUUACAAGAAACAUGGUUGGAAAGAACAAGAUUUUGUUACAAAGACUGUGGCAGCUAGGAAUUCUGGUCCUAAUUCUCCAAAUAAUGCUAAUAGCACUUUGAAUAGACCCAUGGCAUCGCAAAGCGGCACGCGAUAUGAAGAUAGAACGAUGAAGAGAUCUGCUCCAGGCGCUCGAGGUGUGGCUCCGGUGUAUCAAAGGAACGAAGAUAUUCCAAUGGCUGAUAUGGCAUACCCAGAAACGCAACCCCCGAUGGGGCGAGCGUACCCUCCUGGCCCUGGUCCAAACCCACCUCCAGUAAGUCACUAAUUAACCACUUGCACAAACCCUACACGUCCGUGUCAAUUCAUCGCGUUUAAAUAAAAAAAAUUAAAAAAAAAACAAAAAUAAAUUAAUAUUUGGUGAAGGUGGAUCUGGACUGAGCACAGACUUUUGCUCAAGUUAGCAAUAUGGCAACUUUCAUUCCAUGUACAUCUCAUAGUAUACUAACGAACACGACGGCCUCAACGUCGAUUACGGCAUUCACUUAGACUGUUAAUAAUCUCGAUGUUCAUGUACAGUACAAGUUACAAGUACAGUCGUAGGUGAUUUGUAGCAGCAUCCUCUGUUCCGUAUUAUGUAUGGAGCCCUUGACUGUAAGAGUUUUUACUACAUUUUUACUGAUUUGGUCUGGAGCAUAGUCUUCCUUGUACUCUCACUAUGUACUAGCUGUGUCUGUAUCUAUACCUGUAGCAUAUGACAUAUGAUUUGUAAACAUUGAUACGAUACGAGCUGUGUUGUGGUGGGGUGGGCAGCGAGCGAAGGCCCUGGCAGCAGCGUCGUCGCCGGCGCCGACCGGUGCCCAGCCGGAACCUCUCUACGCGCAGGUCAACAUGGAGAAGAAACGAAAUCGUCAACCCAGCUUGGGCAACGCUAACCAUCUGGACGAGCCGCAG